AUGCGUCUGGAUGUGAAUGGCACUUGCAGUAUGCGGCUGCUCCUUGGUUGUCCAUUUGUAUGCGUCCAUAGUCUGAAGCAGAACCUCCAUCUUCUAUCUCAACGUCGGCAGCCCGACGGCGCCGACUCCUUAUCGACGCCCGUCGGCGGCCCGGUGAUGCGACCAGAUCACUGCAAAUUGCUCCAUUCAUGUCAGCAGCCUGAUCAGGUGGAGGUGGUCGUGCUGGCGCCACUGUUUUGCUUCAUGCUGAUGCGGUAUAAAAGUGCCUCCUCGGCAGAUGAGGACCUGAGCGUGGCCAUGCUAAUGAGGAUGCAGGAUCCACCGCCACCGGCCAGUCCGAGUGAUUGCAGAGAACUUGGCAGGCAGAUCAAUUACGAGGAGGUCAAGGCUGAGCUAGAAUGGGGUGGGCGCCAACAUGAAGGAGCUGGAGAUAUCUCUAUUUUUCAAAAUGACCUGCUUGGACCGAACGAGGACAGGUGUGUGGUGGUGGACAUAAGAUGCACGGCGAACAUUGAGCUACAGAAGAACAUUAUGAAAGAGGUUGGAGAGGCUGGAGGAGACCAUAUACCAACACAAAGCGCAUCUUGA
rnacentral:rRNA from 1 species